UUGUGUUUUACUCCAUCAGUACAGACUAGAGGAGACGUCAGAGAGGACAGAAGGCUGAUAUACUGGGUUAUUGUGUUUUACUCCAUCAGUACAGACUAGAGGAGACGUCAGAGAGGACAGAUGACUGAUAUACUGGGUUAUUGUUUUACUCCAUCAGUACAGACUAGAGGAGACGACAGAAGGCUGAUAUACUGGGUUAUUGUGUUUUACUCCAUCAGUACAGACCAGAGGAGACGUCAGAGAGGACAGAAGGCUGAUAUACUGGGUUAUUGUGUUUUACUCCAUCAGUACAGACUAGAGGAGACGUCAGAAGGAUGAUAUACUGGGUUAUUGUGUUUUACUCCAUCAGUACAGACGUCAGAGAGGACAGAUGGCUGAUAUACUGGGUUAUUGUUUUACUCCAUCAGUACAGACUAGAGGAGACGUCAGAGAGGACAGAUGGCUGAUAUACUGGGUUGUUGUGUUUUACUCCAUCAGUACAGACUAGAGGAGACGUCAGAGAGGACAGAAGGCUGAUAUACUGGGUUAUUGUGUUUUACUCCAUCAGUACAGACUAGAGAAGACGUCAGAAGGCUGAUAUACUGGGUUAUUGUGUUUUACUCCAUCAGUACAGACUAGAGAAGACGUCAGAGAGGACAGAAGGCUGAUAUACUGGGUUAUUGUGUUUUACUCCAUCAGUACAGACUAGAGGAGACGUCAGAGAGGACAGAAGGCUGAUAUACUGGGUUAUUGUGUUUUACUCCAUCAGUACAGACUAGAGGAGACGUCAGAAGGAUGAUAUACUGGGUUAUUGUGUUUUACUCCAUCAGUACAGACUAGAGGAGACGUCAGAGAGGACAGAUGGCUGAUAUACUGGGUUAUUGUGUUUUACUCCAUCAGUACAGACCAGAGGAGACGUCAGAGAGGACAGAAGGCUGAUAUACUGGGUUAUUGUGUUUUACUCCAUCAGUACAGACUAGAGGAGACGUCAGAGAGGACAGAAGGCUGAUAUACUGGGUUGUUGUGUUUUACUCCAUCAGUACAGACUAGAGGAGACGUCAGAAGGCUGAUAUACUGGGUUGUUGUGUUUUACUCCAUCAGUACAGACUAGAGGAGACGUCAGAGAGGACAGAAGGCUGAUAUACUGGGUUGUUGUGUUUUACUCCAUCAGUACAGACUAGAGGAGACGUCAGAGAGGACAGAAUGCCUAUGACAGGUGGUACAUCGAGACAUUACACUGACAAAAAGCCUUAUGAAAAUGUCAUCAUCUACCAACAGAUAAACAGAAUGCUUGUCAACAACAGCGUUUUGUGGAGAAACCAAUAUUAAAACCACACUAAACUGUAUGAAGUUUAGACAUAUGUAGUAGGUGACAGAAAGGCAUACAUUUAUCAAUGUACCCAGCGUUGUCUGAACCUUGAGUUUACACAGAUCCCUCUAGUGGAGUCCCAUUGUAGUAACUCACCCUGGCCACCCAAACCCCUCUACCAAGCAGUAGAACUGGAGCUGCAAAACUAAGGCCUGCCAUUCAACAAGUAUUAGGUCCUUCAUGUCAACCAAUUCACAUCACAGACACACACAAGCCUAAGGGGAUGGUAUUUCAGCGAGCCAUGUAGCUGUCAGUUUUGUUUUUAUGUCCCUUAAAAAGGGACACACCAAACUGGCAGUUACGACUGUUCCCCAACUCAAGGAUGCCAUUUUGACAAGGGCAACAGUAGCUGCAUGUUCACAGGCACAUUCAC
rnacentral:lncRNA from 1 species